AUGCACGCUGGCGGCGUGCCUAAUCCAUGCAAGUCGAGCGAACGGACGAGAAGCUUGCUUCUCUGAUGUUAGCGGCGGACGGGUGAGUAACACGUGGAUAACCUACCUAUAAGACUGGGAUAACUUCGGGAAACCGGAGCUAAUACCGGAUAAUAUUUUGAACCGCAUGGUUCAAAAGUGAAAGACGGUCUUGCUGUCACUUAUAGAUGGAUCCGCGCUGCAUUAGCUAGUUGGUAAGGUAACGGCUUACCAAGGCAACGAUGCAUAGCCGACCUGAGAGGGUGAUCGGCCACACUGGAACUGAGACACGGUCCAGACUCCUACGGGAGGCAGCAGUAGGGAAUCUUCCGCAAUGGGCGAAAGCCUGACGGAGCAACGCCGCGUGAGUGAUGAAGGUCCUCGGAUCGUAAAACUCUGUUAUUAGGGAAGAACAUAUGUGUAAGUAACUGUGCACAUCUUGACGGUACCUAAUCAGAAAGCCACGGCUAACUACGUG
rnacentral:rRNA from 1 species